GACGAACGCUGGCGGCGUGCUUAACACAUGCAAGUCGAACGGAAAGGCCCUGCUUGCAGGGUACUCGAGUGGCGAACGGGUGAGUAACACGUGGGUGAUCUGCCCUGCACUUCGGGAUAAGCUUGGGAAACUGGGUCUAAUACCGGAUAGGAGCCAUCUUUAGUGUGGUGGUUGGAAAGUUUUUUCGGUGUAGGAUGAGCUCGCGGCCUAUCAGCUUGUUGGUGGGGUAAUGGCCUACCAAGGCGGCGACGGGUAGCCGGCCUGAGAGGGUGUACGGCCACAUUGGGACUGAGAUACGGCCCAGACUCCUACGGGAGGCAGCAGUGGGGAAUAUUGCACAAUGGGCGCAAGCCUGAUGCAGCGACGCCGCGUGGGGGAUGAAGGCCUUCGGGUUGUAAACUCCUUUCGCUAGGGACGAAGCUUUUUUGUGACGGUACCUAGAUAGGAAGCACCGGCUAACUACGUG
rnacentral:rRNA from 1 species